ACUUUAAAGCAAUUCAAAUAAGGUACAGCCUAUUUGAAACAGGAUACAACCUAAACUAAUGGGUAAAUAACUUAACCAAAUAACUAAGUGGGCCUAAGAGCAGCCACCUUUAAAAUAGCGUCAAAGCUUAACUAUUAAAAUUUAUAAUCCCCUCAUUUUUAUUUAACCCUUUCACAAUACUGAGUAAUUCUAUACUAAUAUAGAAUUUUUUAUGUUAAAACUAGUAACAAGAAGAAACCCCUUCUCUUCUAAUGUAAGUGUAAAUCAGACAGGACAUACCACUGAUAUUUAACAUCUUUGAGUACAAAAUAGCAACUAUUUCAAGCAAACCCUAUUUCAACCUUAUGUUAACCUAACACAAGAACAUUUCAAGAAAGAUUAAAAGAGAAAGAAGGAACUCGGCAAAUAUUAACCCCGCCUGUUACCAAAACAUCGACUCUUGACUUAUAAGAGGUCAGCCUGCCCAGUGACACUGUCAACGGUCGCGGAUC
rnacentral:rRNA from 1 species